rnacentral:rRNA from 1 species
GACGAACGCUGGCGGCGUGCUUAACACAUGCAAGUCGAACGGUAAGGCCCUUCGGGGUACACGAGUGGCGAACGGGUGAGUAACACGUGGGUGAUCUGCCCUGCACUUCGGGAUAAGCCUGGGAAACUGGGUCUAAUACCGGAUAGGACCCUGGGAUGCAUGUCCUGGGGUGGAAAGCUUUUGCGGUGUGGGAUGGGCCCGCGGCCUCUCAGCUUGUUGGUGGGGUGAUGGCCUACCAAGGGGACGACGGGUAGCCGGCCUGAGAGGGUGACCGGCCACACUGGGACUGAGAUACGGCCCAGACUCCUACGGGAGGCAGCAGUGGGGAAUAUUGCACAAUGGGCGCAAGCCUGAUGCAGCGACGCCGCGUGAGGGAUGACGGCCUUCGGGUUGUAAACCUCUUUCAGCACCGACGAAGCGCAAGUGACGGUAGGUGCAGAAGAAGGACCGGCCAACUACGUGCCAGCAGCAGCCGCGG